UCCCAAAACUAUUUCAACCAAUACAUUAACAGUAAACGAACAAAGAAAAAGACCGCAAUACCAUUCACAGUAUUAUCAUUAUAAAUAGAAAGAGACAGAAAAAAUAAAAUAAAUUGUACAAUAACAAAAGUAAAGGAUUUCUUUAACAUUAAUUCUCUUAAAAAAAUCCUUAUAGAGCAUGACAGUUUUAUGACAUUUGGGAGCGUCUAUAGAUUAAUACUGUUUAUAUAUUGUUCAUAUUCAGCCAGAAGUCCAUGUAAAUUCCUUUUCAGUACUCUGCAUUUAUGAAUAUGUAAUUUAUCAAACAAUAUUAAAAUGUUGAUAAUAUGUGUAAGUUUUUUGGUUUUG